rnacentral:rRNA from 1 species
AAAUUGAAGAGUUUGAUCAUGGCUCAGAUUGAACGCUGGCGGCAGGCCUAACACAUGCAAGUCGAACGGUAACAGGAAGAAGCUUGCUUCUUUGCUGACGAGUGGCGGACGGGUGAGUAAUGUCUGGGAAACUGCCUGAUGGAGGGGGAUAACUACUGGAAACGGUAGCUAAUACCGCAUAACGUCGCAAGACCAAAGAGGGGGACCUUCGGGCCUCUUGCCAUCGGAUGUGCCCAGAUGGGAUUAGCUAGUAGGUGGGGUAACGGCUCACCUAGGCGACGAUCCCUAGCUGGUCUGAGAGGAUGACCAGCCACACUGGAACUGAGACACGGUCCAGACUCCUACGGGAGGCAGCAGUGGGGAAUAUUGCACAAUGGGCGCAAGCCUGAUGCAGCCAUGCCGCGUGUAUGAAGAAGGCCUUCGGGUUGUAAAGUACUUUCAGCGGGGAGGAAGGGAGUAAAGUUAAUACCUUUACUCAUUGACGUUACCCGCAGAAGAAGCACCGGCUAACUCCGUGCCAGCAGCCGCGGUAAUACGGAGGGUGCAAGCGUUAAUCGGAAUUACUGGGCGUAAAGCGCACGCAGGCGGUUUGUUAAGUCAGAUGUGAAAUCCCCGGGCUCAACCUG